rnacentral:rRNA from 1 species
ACGAACGCUGGCGGCGUGCCUAAUACAUGCAAGUCGAACGGUCUUUCUAUGGAAGCUUGCUUCCACUGAGAAGAUAGUGGCGGACGGGUGAGUAACACGUGGGUAACCUGCCCAUAAGAGGGGGAUAACAUCCGGAAACGGGUGCUAAUACCGCAUAGUUUUCUUGAUCGCAUGAUUGAGAAAGGAAAGACGGCCUUUGUGCUGUCGCUUAUGGAUGGACCCGCGGCGUAUUAGUUAGUUGGUGAGGUAAUGGCUCACCAAGACGAUGAUACGUAGCCGACCUGAGAGGGUGAUCGGCCACAUUGGGACUGAGACACGGCCCAAACUCCUACGGGAGGCAGCAGUAGGGAAUCUUCCGCAAUGGACGAAAGUCUGACGGAGCAACGCCGCGUGAGUGAAGAAAAGGUUUUCGGAUCGUAAAACUCUGUUGUCAGAGAAGAACAAGUUGGAGAGUAACUGCUCCAGCCUUGACGGUAUCUGACCAGAAAGCCACGGCUAACUACGUGCCAGCCGCCGC